UUUCCGUAGGUGAACCUGCGGAAGGAUCAUUAAUGUAACCGGACUGUUCGGGUGCCGUAAAACGCAUCUGUUCGGAAAGGGAGAUAUCAUACACCCUAUGUUUAUUUACUUUUGUUGCUUUGGCGGGCCGUCCUUUUAGGCAUCGGCCCUGGCUGAUCGUGCCCGCCAGAGGACCUAAACUCUUCUAUCAGUGAUGUCUGAGUACUAUAUAAUAGUUAAAACUUUCAACAACGGAUCUCUUGGUUCUG
rnacentral:misc_RNA from 1 species